AGAGUUUGAUCCUGGCUCAGAAUGAACGCUGGCGGCGUGCCUAAUACAUGCAAGUCGAACGAGAACGGAACUAGCUUGCUAGUUUGUCAGCUAAGUGGCGCACGGGUGAGUAAUGUAUAGCUAAUGUGCCCCUUGGAGGGGGAUAACAGUUGGAAACGACUGCUAAUACCCCAUACUCCUUCUUUACACAAGUAAAGUCGGGAAAUGGUUUUUUCCGCCAAGGGAUCGGGCUAUAUCGCAUCAGCUUGUUGGUGGGGUAACGGCCUACCAAGGCUAUGACGCGUAGCUGGUCUGAGGGGAUGAUCAGCCACACUGGAACUGAGACACGGUCCAGACUCCUACGGGAGGCAGCAGUAGGGAAUAUUGCACAAUGGGCGAAAGCCUGAUGCAGCAACGCCGCGUGGAGGAUGACACUUUUCGGAGCGUAAACUCCUUUUAUCAGAGAAGAUAAUGACGGUAUCUGAUGAAUAAGCGCCGGCUAACUCCGUGCCAGCAGCCGCGGUAAUACGGGGGGCGCAAGCGUUAUUCGGAAUCACUGGGCGUAAAGGGUGCGUAGGCGUCUUGAUAAGUAUCCCGUGAAAUCCUAUGGCUCAACCAUAGAACUGCGGGAUAAACUGUCAAGAUAGAGUCCGGAAGAGGUAAGUGGAAUU
rnacentral:rRNA from 1 species